rnacentral:rRNA from 1 species
CCUACGGGGGGCAGCAGUGGGGAAUAUUGGACAAUGGGCGAAAGCCUGAUCCAGCCAUGCCGCGUGUGUGAGGAAGGCCUUCGGGUUGUAAAGCACUUUCAGUGGGGAAGAAAGCCUUGGGGCUAAUACCCUCGAGGAAGGACAUCACCCACAGAAGAAGCACCGGCUAACUCCGUGCCAGCAGCCGCGGUAAUACGGAGGGUGCGAGCGUUAAUCGGAAUUACUGGGCGUAAAGCGCGCGUAGGCGGUCUGAUAAGCCGGUUGUGAAAGCCCCGGGCUCAACCUGGGAACGGCAUCCGGAACUGUCAGGCUAGAGUGCAGGAGAGGAAGGUAGAAUUCCCGGUGUAGCGGUGAAAUGCGUAGAGAUCGGGAGGAAUACCAGUGGCGAAGGCGGCCUUCUGGACUGACACUGACGCUGAGGUGCGAAAGCGUGGGUAGCAAACAGGAUUAGAUACCCUUGUAGUC